AUAUUCUUGAACCCCUGACCUCCUGCUUUCAAGUGAUGGGGUUCUAAGAAUCUGCAUAAU
rnacentral:pre_miRNA from 1 species